CAGAGAGUCUGAAAGUCUUACACAUUUAAUCUCCACUUUCCUGUUGAAACAACUGUUUUUAUAAUGACAUUUUUGAUAAUAGCUUGAGUUGACACAUGGCAGCAAUCAGAAUUGAAUCUCCAGCUGGACAGGGUCUUUAGCCCUCCCUGCUGUCUCAACACCACCAGCAUCCCUUGACUCAUUUUACAUAUCUUGACCUGUGGACACUGGUGUUCACUACCUGCUAGAGCCAAAUGUGUGUUAUCAUAUCCAGUGACGAAGAUCACACUGGUGAAUCAUAUAGUUUGGCUUAAGUGGCGAAAUUCCAGAAAUAUCCCAUCUCCGGUUGAAAAACCACCAACUCCCUACUUCAAAAGAACCCAAGUCCUAACCUUCCUGGUUGCUGAAAGAAAUUAAGGUGUUUGCAAAACAAAUGAGGUCAAGACAAUUUCUGGGAUGAAUGAAAAGACUGGGGUAAUUUAAGUUCCAUGUUCAAGGUGAUGAACAGGUAGGGAAAUUUGACAUCUGGUCAGGACAUUGAUAACCAGGUAGAUGGCAAGAGUGGGAGGAAUAGAGAUGAACCAGAAAAUCCAUGGAGAUUAGCCUGGUACUUAGAAACUCAAGAAAGGAGGUGGACCCAAUGUGAUCAGAAAGAAGACUGGACUACAAGAAUGUGGAAAUUCUUACUCCCACCUCUUCUUGGCAAGAAAGAAGUCUGAAGUUGAAGCAAUGCAAUGGCUCAACCAAGAAUAUUUGAUAUCCUUCCUGCUAUGUCAUGGACAGACCCUCAAGCCUGAUGGCAUUACAGGCAUGACAAACAAAUGUAUCUGAAUGAAUCAGGGAAAUAAAUGGAUACAGCAGUAUUCCUAGAAAUAUGAAUAGGUGGGAACAGCAAGAGAUUGAUGGCAAGGAUAGAGAUAUAAACUGAUGAAAGUAUAAACCAAGAAGUGAGAAGUGAGAAUGCAAUGGAAAGGAAAAGGAAAUCUAAAUGAGAAC
rnacentral:lncRNA from 1 species